GGCGAACCGAGCGAACGUUAUUCGGAAUCACUGGGCUUAAAGGGCGCGUAGGCGGGCGGCCAAGUCAGGGGUGAAAGCCCCCAGCUCAACUGGGGAAGUGCCUCUGAUACUGGUCAUCUCGAGGGAGAUAGGGGCGUGCGGAACUUCCGGUGGAGCGGUGAAAUGCGUAGAUAUCGGAAGGAACACCGGUGGCGAAAGCGGCGCGCUGGAUCUCUUCUGACGCUGAGGCGCGAAAGCCAGGGGAGCGAACGGG
rnacentral:rRNA from 1 species